rnacentral:piRNA from 2 species
UGAGUGUAGAACAACACUCAUGAGC